CCUACGGGUGGCAGCAGUGGGGAAUAUUGCACAAUGGGGGAAACCCUGAUGCAGCGACGCCGCGUGAGUGAAGAAGUAAUUCGUUAUGUAAAGCUCUAUCAGCAGGGAAGAAAAUGACGGUACCUGAGUAAGAAGCCCCGGCGAACUACGUGCCAGCAGCCGCGGUAAUACGUAGGGGGCAAGCGUUAUCCGGAUUUACUGGGUGGAAAGGGAGCGUAGACGGCAGUGCAAGUCUGGAGUGAAAGGCGGGGGCUCAACCCCCGGACUGCUCUGGAAACUGUAAGGCUGGAGUGCAGGAGAGGUAAGUGGAAUGCCUAGUGUAGCGGUGAAAUGCGUAGAUAUUAGGAGGAACACCAGUGGCGAAGGCGGCUUACUGGACUGUAACUGACGUUGAGGCUCGAAAGCGUGGGGAGCAAACAGGAUUAGAUACCCUGGUAGUC
rnacentral:rRNA from 1 species